AGCAGCCGCGGUAAUUCCAGCUCCAAUAGCGUAUAUUAAAGUUGUUGCAGUUAAAAAGCUCGUAGUUGAAUUUCGGGGUCAGUAGGUUGGUCAUGCCUCCGGUAUGUACUGGUCUCACUGAUUCCUCCUUCCUGAUGAGCCGUAAUGCCAUUAAUUUGGUGUUGCGGGGAAUCUGGACUGUUACUUUGAAAAAUUGAGUGUUUAAGGCAAGCUAACGCUUGAAUACAUUAGCACGGAAUAAUGGAAUAGGACGUUCGAUCCUAUUUUGUUGGUUUCUAGGAUUGACGUAAUGAUUAAUAGGGAUAGUUGGGGGCAUUAGUAUUCAAUUGUCAGAGGUGAAAUUCUUGGAUUUAUUGAAGACUAACUACUGCGAAAGCAUUUGCCAAGGAUGUUUUCAUUAUCAAGAA
rnacentral:rRNA from 1 species